rnacentral:rRNA from 1 species
CGUCAAAUCAUCAUGCCCCUUAUGAUCUGGGCUACACACGUACUACAAUGGCCGUAACAGAGGGAAGCGAGACCGAGAGGUGGAGCGGAUCCCUAAAAAGCGGUCUCAGUUCGGAUUGUGGGCUGCAACCCGCCCACAUGAAGUCGGAAUUGCUAGUAAUCGCAGGUCAGCAUACUGCGGUGAAUACGUUCCCGGGCCUU